GAUAUGCAAAAUGAAUACAAUGUUGGAGGAGGAAGAAAACUUGGAAGAAAAUGAUAGGUGAGUAACAACAAUGAUUAAAGAGCUGUGAUAAAGAGAGUUAUAAAUCAAGUGGUUUCCAGGUUGCAGAAUUUGGAAAGAGACUUACUUAUGUGAGGAGGCUGAUCUACAAAGGAUGAUGACCAUCUCCAUUAGGGACCAGACAGGAGGCACCAGAUUUAGGUUACAGUAUGAGGGAUUUAGAUAAGAGAAAAGGAAAAAUUUUCAGACAGUGAGAUUUGAUAGACACUGGAAUGUGUAACUGGGGAAGCUUGUGGAAUUUCCUUCUCUAGUGGUCGUUUAAAAAUAGAACAGCAUCUCAUCUGCCCGAAGGAUGGACUCUGUUUGACCUUUCAGAGUAUCCACUGAACUCAGAAGGCACAUACACCUUUGAGAAGGAAGUAAGCUUGAAUUACUGUGGGUAGCUUGUGAUAUGAAAAUAGGGUGAAUAAAUUUCAUGUUUAAUUUGAUUUACCUAUGUCGUAUAUGUAAACUAUGAUGGUUACAGUUCUUCUUACUUUUCCUCUCAGUUGAGUGUUUUCAUUUUUAAGGCUUGGAGAUUAGGGUUUAAGUAAAAAUACUGUAGAGAGGGAAGGAGGAACUCAUCUUACUUAUAGAGCAUAUUUUUACAGGGACAUAGGUAAGGAGAAAAAAACAUUUUGGACAAUUUAAUUUUUAUUACACUUCCUGUUCUAAAUAAACUAAAAAAAAAAAAAAAAAAAAACAAAAAAACCAACACUGACCUUUAUGUUUACUUUAGUAUUUUUAGGGUAAAAUUUAAAAAAGUAAUUUAGUCUACAUGUUUCUUAAAGUUUUUUUGGCAGAAUUGGUAUUCCAAACUGGAAGAGGUUCUCUGUAUUUAAUUUCCUCUCCGGAAGUUUACCUUCAGAAGUCCAAGUGUGAGGUCAAGCCUUGGGUUGCCGGAAAUGGUAAUGUCCUUUACUGUCUGAGCACUCAGACAGCACUUAAUGAAACAUCCUACUUUGUGGACAUUGCUGCUGCUACUUCUGAAUUAUGAGGCUUGCCAUGCAUAACUCCUGCAGUGGAUAGUUUAUUUUUGCAAAGUGCAUGGAAUGAAACUUGUGGGGAUGUAGACUGCAGGCACAGAAAGAUCUAAAUGAAUGUGUAAGAAUGACCACAAGGCACCAGGCGUGGGUGUAUUUAUCCGUUUGUCUCAUUACUAAGAGGUUUUAGUUCCAAAAAAUAUCCGGAAGGAUUUAGUUUAGGGGAAGUGGGGAGGGAGAAGGAGUGGAAUAAAGAUCUUUGAAUUUUUAAACA
rnacentral:lncRNA from 1 species